CCGAUUAAUGAUUUCCUCCGUGGGUGCUCACGGGCGCACGCCCUUUAAAAAAAAAAAAAGUCAAAAAAUGUUUCCAUUU